UACGGAGGGUGCAAGCGUUAUCCGGAUUUACUGGGUUUAAGGGGUGUGUAGGCGGACUUUUAAGUCAGUGGUGAAAUCCCGGGGCUCAACCCCGGAACUGCCAUUGAUACUAUUGGUCUUGAAUACUGUGGAGGUGAGCGGAAUGUGUCAUGUAGCGGUGAAAUGCUUAGAGAUGACACAGAACACCGAUUGCGAAGGCAGCUCACUACGCAGUGAUUGACGCUGAGGCACGAAAGCGUGGGGAUCAAACAGG
rnacentral:rRNA from 1 species